rfam:Salmo salar isolate Sally breed double haploid chromosome ssa23, whole genome shotgun sequence.
CAGGUUCAUGAAUAUAAGUCGCUUUGGAUAAAAGCAUCUGCUAAAUGAUAUAUA